CUCAUGAGCGUCCGGGUAGUCUGGUAAGGGGUCGCUGGAGAGUGUGUCGCCCCUCUCCCCCAACCAAAAGCUUCCCUCCAACCAGCUGCUCUUGUCUUCUCCUCCCGAGGGCCCUGUGCCCUCCCAGUGGACUUGCAGGGGAGAACGUCCAUGUCUGUGCGAGUCACAAAGGCACCCGUUCCAGGGGUCCCAGAACGCCCGGGCGUGGGGCUGGGGCUGUGGCGCAGCGAGGCCGCGCAGCAAGCAGUCCUCCCGGCACCGUCGGAAGCCUAGUUGCAGCAGCCGUCGGACAAGCGGCCCGAGCAGCCACGGACAAGCAGUCCGGGCCCCGCCACUGCAAGGAGAUCAAGACCCUGAAGGCAGAGCAGGAUGAGAUCACCCUACUGUUGAGUCUCAUGAAAUCCUCGAGGAACAUGAAUCGGAGUGAGAAGAACUACAUGGAGCUGUGUCUCCUGCUGCAAACCAAAGAGGACUACGAGGCCUUGAUUAAAUCCCUGAAAGUGCUGUUGGCUGAACUGGAUGAGAAGAUUCUUCAGAUGGAAAAAAAAGUCGCAAACCAAAAACAGAUUUUCGCAAAAAUGCAGGAGGCCAAUAACCCCCGGAAACUGCAGAAACAGAUUAACAUUUUGGAAACCCGUCUGAAUCUCGGUGGAGGCCAUGGCUCGAAUGGCUGCCAUGAAGGACCGCCAGAAGAAGGACACCUCUCAGUACAACCUGGAGAUCCGAGAGCUGGAGCGUCUCUAUGCCCACGAGAACAAGCUCAAGUCCUUCCUGCUUGUCAAGCUGAAUGAUCGCAAUGAAUUUG
rnacentral:sRNA from 1 species